AUUGAACGCUGGCGGCAGGCCUAACACAUGCAAGUCGAGCGGGGCGGCGGAGGGGUGAGUAAUGCCUAGGAAUCUGCCUGGUAGCGGGGGAUAACGUCCGGAAACGGGCACUAAUACCGCAUACUAUCAGCUGCGACUCGGACGGAUUAGCGAGCUGGUGGGGGAAAGGCCUACGAAGGCGACGACCCGUAACUGGUCUAAGAGGAUGAUCAGUCACACUGGGACGGAGACACGGUGCAGACUCCGACGGGAGGCAGCAGUGGGGAAGAUUGGACAAUGGGCGAAAGCCUGAUCCAGCCAGGGCGCGUGUGUUAAGAAGGCCUCCGGAUUGUAAAGCACUUUUAGUUGGGAGGCGUUACCAGCAGAAUAAGCACCGGCUAACUUCGUGCCAGCAGCCGCGGUAAUAC
rnacentral:rRNA from 1 species